CUCUGGUGCGGAGCAGCCCAGUGGGGGUUGUUAUAGUGGCAGUGGGGUGCCCUGUAGAGAGCAUUACAGAGUGGGUCACCAGGCCCAGGAUUAGAAGUGUCUGUAGCCCCCGAGGAACCGGGACAGGACUGAAUCAGUCAAGAAGAGACGAGAUGAUGAUGACGGAGUGGCCACAAAGUCCUCCCACCCCUACCCUAUCCCAGAUGAGCCCAUGCUGUAACCACAUGAAGAGCAAAGAAACAACUAUUUAUUCUCAGGGACUGUGUUAAUGAUUCCCAACCAUCAGCAUCGAAGAAGAGGUCCGGAAGAAUGUGAAGAAUGCUAAGUCUUGUGUGGAGAAUAGAGGGGAGCAUGAAGACAAUCCACAGCCUGCAGGCAGGGACUUCAUGGACACUCUACAUUGUGCAGCAGCCACAGAAUUCAGCCACAGGUGCCAGCUGGGCCUUGUCAUGCUUUUCCGCAUUUAAAAAGGCAUUUAAAAAAAUCCGAAACAAGAACAUGUACAGAAAGGUAAAAUUGACUGGAAGAGUUCAUUCCUUCCACUGAAAUCACUGAAUAACUACCUUGGCUACUUGGUGCCAAUGAUGAAGGCAUCAUAUUUAUACCCCUCAAAGGAUUCACAGUCCAGGAAGAAGCAGACAAACGAAGACUUUCAUAAGU